rnacentral:misc_RNA from 1 species
GAUGAAGAACGCAGCGAAAUGCGAUAAGUAGUGUGAAUUGCAGAAUUCAGUGAAUCAUCGAAUCUUUGAACGCACAUUGCGCCCCUCGGUAUUCCGGGGGGCAUGCCUGUCCGAGCGUCAUUACAACCCUCAAGCUCAGCUUGGUGUUGGGCCCCGCCGCCCCGGCGGGCCCUAAAGUCAGUGGCGGUGCCGUCCGGCUCCGAGCGUAGUAAUUCUUCUCGCUCUGGAGGUCCGGUCGUGUGCUCGCCAGCAACCCCCAAUUUUUUUCAGGUUGACCUCGGAUCAGGUAGGGAUACCCGCUGAACUUAAGCAUAUCAAUAAGCGGAGGA